rnacentral:rRNA from 1 species
UACGGAGGAUCCAAGCGUUAUCCGGAUUUAUUGGGUUUAAAGGGUGCGUAGGCGGAAUGAUAAGUCAGUGGUGAAAGCCUGCAGCUUAACUGCAGAACUGCCAUUGAUACUGUCAAUCUUGAGUACAUUUUGAUGUGGGCGGAAUGUGUCAUGUAGCGGUGAAAAUGCUUUAGAUAUGAACACAGAAACACCGAUUGCGAAAGGCAGCUCACAAAAAC